rnacentral:lncRNA from 1 species
AGGCUCGUGUAAAGAAAUGCAGCUGGAAUGAAAAGUUCAUUUUUGACUGGCUGCUGUAAAACAUAGUGCCCCAGUGCAGCGUUGACUUCUGUAACCCUAAUUAUGGGAUGCGCCGCAAGCUCCAAGAUAACUUUUGUUGAACCUGUCAAACCUUCAAACGAAAAUGAGCACAACUCCCUGGAGGUGCAGCGGUCAGGAGGGGGUGACCGGGGGGACUCGGCCGUGUCGAAGCACACCACGGACAGCGGACUGGGUCUGGAGGCUACCGAGGGCGUCAUCUUACCUGGGGCAGUGCCUAGACAGCUACCACCGCUGAGAGCCAGCAGCUUGGACCAGGCACAGGACAACAUACCCACACCCAGACAAGAGUCCAGUGAGAUUCUGAAGCAGCUGCUGUGUCAGGGCAUCAUUCCAGCCCAGGCCCGUGCAGCCAGCAGCGAAGAGGCUUACAGCAUCACGAUGGAGGACCCAGAGAAGCCCAUGAGGAGGCCCCCGCCCCGGCUGGAGAAGCUGAUGGGGAGGAAGGAGUCAGGGACGACCACGAAGGAGGACAUCGAAGAGAGGAUGAAUCAGGUCCAAGAGGAUGAGUUGAAGGUGCGGCUCAGGACUAAAUCAGCUCGUCCCCGUCAGGCUGCUUCUCAGGCGGAGGCCGAGGGCCAGACUGUGGUGGAGGAGCUUCAGUUAGAUGUCACCGAGGCCCCGCACAGUCCACCCAAGACCCCAGACCACCAGAACCACAUUGGCCCGCUCCAGGGCAGGUUAGAGGGUGGGAGAGAGGGGGAUGAAGAGAGAGGGAGCGAUGGGGUGACCGUGGCAAAUAAAGAUGGUGGAAGGAGAGAAGCCCCUUUGACAGAUUCUCUGAACAUGGAAAGUGACUCCACUUUUCAGCAAAUUGAAGACAUAGAGGAGAUAUUUUAACUGAAAAUCAAAAGCUGGGUUUGUUAUGUAGAUAAAUAAAUUGGGGAUAGUAGCAUUACCUUUUCUCGGC